rnacentral:rRNA from 1 species
CAGUAGCCACGGGAAUACGGAGGGUGCAAGCGUUAAUCGGAAUUACUGGGCGUAAAGCGCGCGUAGGCGGUUACUCAAGUCAGAGGUGAAAGCCCGGGGCUCAACCCCGGAACUGCCUUUGAAACUAGGUGACUAGAAUCUUGGAGAGGUCAGUGGAAUUCCGAGUGUAGAGGUGAAAUUCGUAGAUAUUCGGAAGAACACCAGUGGCGAAGGCGACUGACUGGACAAGUAUUGACGCUGAGGUGCGAAAGCGUGGGGAGCAAACAGGAUUAGAUACCCCUGUAGUCCCUGUCUCUUAUAC